UACGGAGGGUGCAAGCGUUGUCCGGAAUCAUUGGGCGUUAAGCGUUCGUAGGCUGUAUAUCAAGUCUGGUGUUAAAGCCCGGGGCUCAACUCCGGUUCGGCACUGGAUACUGGUAAACUGGAAUGCGGUAGAGGUUAGGGGAAUUCCUGGUGUAGCGGUGAAAUGCGUAGAUAUCAGGAGGUACUUCGGUGGCGUAAGCGCUUAACUGGGCCGUAAUUGACGCUGAGGAACGAAAGCCGGGGGAGCAAAU
rnacentral:rRNA from 1 species